UGGGGGAUAUUGCACAAUGGGCGAAAGCCUGAUGCAGCGACGCCGCGUGGGGGAUGAAGGCCUUCGGGUUGUAAACUUCUUUUGCUCUGAACAAGGCGCACCAUGGGGUGUGUUGAGUGUAGGGGUUGAUUAGCGCCGGCUAACUACGUGCCAGCAGCCGCGGUAAUACGUAGGGCGCGUGCGUUGUCCGGAAUUAUUGGGCGUAAAGGGCUUGUAGGUGGCUGGUUGCGUCUGUCGUGAAAGCUCAUGGCUUAACUGUGGGUUUGCGGUGGGUACGGGCUGGCUUGAGUGCAGUAGGGGAGGCUGGAAUUCCUGGUGUAGCGGUGGAAUGCGCAGAUAUCAGGAGGAAUACCGGUGGCGAAGGCGGGUCUCUGGGCUGUUACUGACACUGAGGAGCGAAAGCAUGGGGAGCGAACAGG
rnacentral:rRNA from 1 species